rnacentral:sRNA from 1 species
ACACCUCUUGUAUAACGCCAAGUGGCCA